rnacentral:rRNA from 1 species
UACAGAGGUCUCAAGCGUUGUUCGGAUUCAUUGGGCGUAAAGGGUGCGUAGGCGGCGCGGUAAGUCGGGUGUGAAAUCUCGGAGCUUAACUCCGAAACUGCAUUCGAUACUGCCGUGCUUGAGGACUGGAGAGGAGAGUGGAAUUCCUGGUGAUAGCGGUGAAAUGCGCAGAUAUCAGGAAGAACACCUAUGGCGAAGGCAGCUCUCUGGGAACGGUACUG